UACGAAGGUCCCAAGCGUUAUCCGGAUUUAUUGGGUUUAAAGGGUGCGUAGGCGGUCUAUUAAGUCAGUGGUGAAAGCCCCAAGCUCAACUUGGGAACUGCCAUUGAUACUGAUGGACUUGAGUACAUUUGAGGUGGGCGGAAUGUGUCAUGUAGCGGUGAAAUGCUUAGAUAUGACACAGAACACCGAUUGCGAAGGCAGCUCACUACACAAUCAUUGACGCUGAGGCACGAAAGCGUGGGGAUCAAACAGG
rnacentral:rRNA from 1 species